GAAGACAAGCUACGGCGUGUGUGUGUGAUUGAUCUGACCUGCUGGUACUUGGAGAGCUCGAACUUGGCGCGGGCGAGGUCCUGCUGGAGCUGGCGGAGGUUGCGCUGGAGGAUGGAGAUGAUGGCGACGCAGCCGUAGACGGGGUCGCGGAGGCGCAUGUCGGCCUCGUAGGCGAGCGAGUUCACGGCGUCCUCGCGCUGGUAGGGGUGCAGCUCGUUCAGCAGCUUGGUCACGUUGCUCGCGCCGAAGACGCGGUGCACGUGGACGAACUUCUGCGGGUUGUCCGGCGGGAAGUAGGGCGCGAACACGCAGUCGGGCUGGCACUUGCGGCGGAGGAACUUGCACGCCGCGCACG
rnacentral:sRNA from 1 species